CCUACGGGAGGCAGCAGUGGGGAAUAUUGGACAAUGGGGGCAACCCUGAUCCAGCCAUGCCGCGUGUGUGAAGAAGGCCCUCGGGUUGUAAAGCACUUUCAGUGAGGAAGAACGCCUGGUGGUUAAUACCCAUCAGGAAAGACAUCACUCACAGAAGAAGCACCGGCUAACUCCGUGCCAGCAGCCGCGGUAAUACGGAGGGUGCGAGCGUUAAUCGGAAUUACUGGGCGUAAAGCGCGCGUAGGUGGCUUGAUAAGCCGGUUGUGAAAGCCCCGGGCUCAACCUGGGAACGGCAUCCGGAACUGUCAAGCUAGAGUGCAGGUGAGGAAGGUAGAAUUCCCGGUGUAGCGGUGAAAUGCGUAGAGAUCGGGAGGAAUACCAGUGGCGAAGGCGGCCUUCUGGACUGACACUGACACUGAGGUGCGAAAGCGUGGGUAGCAAACAGGAUUAGAUACCCGGGUAGUC
rnacentral:rRNA from 1 species